rnacentral:tRNA from 1 species
GGGUACGUAACUCAGCGGUAGAGUGCUAUCCUCACACGGUAGAAGUCGCUGGUUCGAAUCCAGCCGUACCCA